rnacentral:rRNA from 1 species
UACGUAGGGUGCGAGCGUUGUCCGGAAUUAUUGGGCGUAAAGUGCUCGUAGGCGGCCUGUCGCGUCGGAUGUGAAAGCCCGGGGCUUAACCCCGGGUCUGCAUUCGAUACGGGCAGGCUAGAGUUCGGUAGGGGAGAUCGGAAUUCCUGGUGUAGCGGUGAAAUGCGCAGAUAUCAGGAGGAACACCGGUGGCGAAGGCGGAUCUCUGGGCCGAUACUGACGCUGAGGAGCAAAAGCGUGGGGAGCGAACAGG